CUAUGCGGCCCAUAACCCACUGCUCGUUACCAAGGCAUUCGCGACGUCCGUCGUCCACGUCAUUUGCGGUCCACACUCAGAAGCCAGCGGUACUAUGUUAGUCCGUUUUCCUGCUGAUGCACAAAGAACAAAUAUGGCGGACGAAAUGGACGCCCAUAAUCCGAAAACUACAUCCGUCCGUUUAUCACUUGGUGCGAGUGCUAGUCACUGGCCUUGGAGCUUUUGCUUUGCCACGCCUGGUGGCUGAACAACGGACUUGAUUUUCUAUGAUAAUUUCAAAUGGUAUUGAAACCACUUAAAACAGAAAGAAAUAUCAAAAUAGAUGUACCAACAAUAGUGAUCAAAGAUCUAAAAUGUUGAUCAUUUGACCAUUAAAAUGCCAGAAAUAUUACAUGCACUGUAAGGUGGAAUUUGAGUAUGUGCAUACAGUUCAUAAUAUGGCCAUCUAUGUUGUAAGUAAGGAUCUUAUGCUGGAUUAUAGGUAGAGGAGUGGGUUUUCAUUACACAAUUAUUUGACCAAUUGGAUUGGUAUAUAGUAUUGUGAAUCCAACAUCACGUCAUUAUUAUUAUUCAACUGUCAUUACACAAACGUUGGAAAACUUAUUCUACAGUUAAACCCUGAGUUAGGUUGUUAAUUCUAGGGUUUAUUAGAAGGUUAUUGUUUAUUCAUCGCCAUAGUUAUUAGCCAUGACUUGACCAGUGUUGAAGAUUAUAACUACUUCAACGCUUAACUAUUUAUAUGUUGACUAAAUCUUCGCUUGUCAAGAGUUUCUAAGAUUUUCAUAUAUUAGAAGUUGGAGUUUAUAUAUCUAAUGGAUGGUCUUUAAGAUGAAGUGUUAAAAGUUGGAAAUGUGUUAUAACAUUUAUACACAGCUGGAUAUUUUUAUAUCUAUUACUUUGUGUUAGCAAAGAGGUUGGUGGAGUGACUGAUGACAACCCCUAAUCAACCCCAUCUAUGUUGCUGUAGACUCAGACAUGAAGUUAACUAGUGAAAUACAAAUUACACUACAAACUAUGAUUUUGGUUUUUUAGUCUAGAGCUCUAUGGGCUUGAAGUUGUCAAUUUUUUUUAUGUAACAUUUUAUUUUCAACUCAAUUUUAAAUCUGUUUGCCUAGUGUUAAUCUAACAUCAGUGCCUUCGAUUUCUUUUCAAACCCUAAAUGUAUUUGUUUUGAAAAUAAUAGAAAAUAAUUUGUAAGCUAACAUUACUAGAAAGUAAUUAAUAAAUACACAACUAUUGGACUUAUUACUAUAUUAUGUAUCAAUAAAUCUAUUAUGUUGUCAAAAGACAUAUUUAAUAUGCUAUCUUAGUUCUGUUAUCUACCUAUCUUAAAUUCUAAAACAAAUAAUAUAUACCUAAUAUAUUUACGCUAUUAUCAUUGUUGAAAUACAUGUACUAAUAGAAUUUAAAAUUUAUUGAUAUGAGGAGUUGUAUUUGUAAACUUUGUAUUAUCUUAAUACGCAUCUAUAUUUUUUUUACAUUAAAAUAAUCAAUUGUUUUAUAUAAAUGUUAAGUAUAAAUUAUAUAUGGGUUGAAUAAAUUUUGAUAUUUUUGAAACCCA
rnacentral:lncRNA from 1 species